GAUGAACGCUGGCGGCGUGCCUAAUACAUGCAAGUCGAGCGAACAGACGAUGAGCUUGCUCUUCUGACGUUAGCGGCGGACGGGCGAGUAACACGUGGAUAACCUACCUAUAAUACUGGGAUAAUAUCGGGAAACCGGAUCUAAUACCGGAUCAUAUGUUGUACCGCAUGGUUCAACAGUUAAUGGCGGCUUUGCCGUCUCUUUUAGCUGGAUCCGCGGCGCCUUAGCUAGUUGGUAAGGUAAAGGCCUACCAAGGCGACGUUGCGUAGCUGAUCUGAGAGGAUGAUCAGCCACACUGGAACUGAGACACGGUCCAGACUCCUACGGGAGGCAGAAGUGGGGAAGAUUGGACAAUGGGCGCAAGCCUGAUCCAGCCAUACCGCGUGGGUGAAGAAGGCCUUCGGGUUGUAAAGCCCUUUUGUUGGGAAAGAAAAGCAGCAGGUUAAUACCCCGCUGUUCUGACGGUACCCAAAGAAUAAGCACCGGCUAACUUCGUG
rnacentral:rRNA from 1 species